UACGGAGGGUGCAAGCGUUAUCCGGAUUCACUGGGUUUAAAGGGUGCGUAGGCGGGCAGGUAAGUCAGUGGUGAAAUCUUCGAGCUUAACUCGGAAACUGCCUUUGAUACUAUCUGUCUUGAAUAUUGUGGAGGUAAGCGGAAUAUGUCAUGUAGCGGUGAAAUGCUUAGAUAUGACAUAGAACACCUAUUGCGAAGGCAGCUUACUACGCAUAUAUUGACGCUGAGGCGCGAAAGCUAGGGGAGCAAACAGG
rnacentral:rRNA from 1 species